AUGGCGCCCACGGCAGGCGGAUCACUACUGGCCCUAUCAGUCAUCGUCCUUGCAACCGUUGCGUCGACCCUUCUGCUGGCGCCAGUGGCGGCCAAUGACAUUGACGCGCUCUCGGCCCUGAGGUGCGGCUUGAAGGACCCCAACGGCGCGUUGAAGACCUGGGACCCACAGUUGGUGGACCCUUGCACCUGGUUCCACAUCAUCUGCGAUGACAACAAACGCGUCACCCGCAUGAAAGUAGACUUGGAUACCUCCAUUCCUUUACGCGAGAUUCUGAUUCGGUCUUUGUGCGUGCCUCCGGUACUUCCCGUGUUUUCAAAUAAUUGGUGUUCUAGGAUUGUCUUAAGUCAAACUUCAUUAAGUUUGACCAAGUCUAUAUAA
rnacentral:rRNA from 1 species